ensembl:lncRNA
UUGCCUAGCAUCCAUCUGGCAAAUCUCCGCUCUCUACCCAACAAAACGGACGAACUCCUUUUGCUUUCCUGGACAAAUAAGGAUUUAUCACACUCUGCUGCUCUGUGUUUCACGGAAACCUGGCUCAAUGACGCCAUACCGGACAGCGCGCUCCAUCUGCCGGGCUUUCAGCUGUUCAGUGCGGGCCACGACGCAGAAUCAACGGGGAAAUCGCGCGGCGGCGGGACAUGCUUUUAUAUCAAUGAACGGUGGUGCACAGAUGUAACUGUGUUAAAGAAGAUGUGCUGUUCAGAUUUAGAAGUGCUUGUUGUCAACUGCAAGCCGUUCUAUUCGCCGCGGGAGUUUCACUCGUUCAUUCCUUGUGAGUGUUUACAUCCCUCCGCAAGUGCACGUAAGUCUGGCUUUACAGAAACUCGCUGACCAGAUCACAGAGACAGAACAACAACACCCGGACUCUGUUUUAAUCAUUCUUGGGGACUUUAAUAAAGCCAGUCUCUCCUGUGAACUGCCAAAAUACAGACAGCAUGUUACAUGUCCCACCAGAGACAGUAAUAUAUUGGAUCACUGUUACACCACAAUAAAGGAUGCAUAUCAUUCUGUUCCACGAGCAGCUUUGGGACUGUCUGAUCACUGUCUGGUUCAUCUUAAACCAACCUACAGGCAGAAACUUAAAUCUGCUAAACCUGUAGUAAAGACUGUAAAGAGAUGGACCAACGAAACAGAGCAGGAUUUACAAGCUUGUUUUGACCUCACUGAUUGGAGUGUUUUUGAAGCUGCUACCACCGAUCUGGACGAACUCACAGAGCCCGUAACAUCCUAUAUUAGUUUUUGUGAGGAUAUAUGUAUUCCUACCAGGACUUAUUUAACAUUCAACAACGAUAAGCCAUGGUUUACAGCAAAACUCAGACAUCUUCGUCGGGCCAAAGAGGAUGCCUACAGAAAUGGGGACAGAGUCUUGUAUAAUCAGGCCAGAAACACACUGAACAAAGAGAUUAGAGCAGCUAAAAGGACCUACUCUAAAAAGUUGGAAGACCAGUUUACUUCAGACGACUCAACUUCAGUAUGGAAAGGACUGAGAGCCAUUACCAACUACAAGACACCAUCCCCCUGCACUGAGGCUAAUCAACGACUUGCUAAUGACCUGAAUGAGUUUUAUUGUAGAUUUGAAACACCCCACAUCCAUUCUGAUCAUCUCUCUACACAACCGUUAACACCUCCAUCAAUCCCCCUCUCCCCCCCUCCUGCUCUUCAAAUUAGUGAAAUCGAUGUGCGCCAGGUCUUCAGGAAGAACAAAAGAAGAAAAGCACCAGGCCCAGAUGGUGUUACACCAGCCUGUCUGAGAACCUGUGCUGACCAAUUGGCCCCCAUCUUUUCACAGAUCUUCAAGAGAUCUCUGGAGUUGUGUGAAGUGCCGUCCUGCUUCAAACGCGCCACCAUUAUCCCCGUUCCAAAGAAACCCAAGAUAACAGGACUUAACGACUACAGACCUGUGGCUCUAACGUCUGUCGUCAUGAAGUCAUUUGAAAAACUGGUUCUGGCUUAUCUGAAGGACAUCACUGGACCCUUACUGGACCCCCUGCAGUUUGCUUACCGAGCAAACAGGUCAGUGGAUGAUGCAAUCAACUUGGGAUUGCACUUCAUCAUGCAACAUCUGGACAAAACAGGGACUUAUGUGAGGAUCCUGUUUGUGGACUUUAGUUCGGCUUUCAACACCAUCAUCCCAACAGCCCUCCAGACCAAACUGACCCAGCUCGCUGUUCCUAGUUCUAUCUGUCAGUGGAUCACCAGCUUUCUGACAGAUAGGCAACAGCUAGUGAGACUGGGGAAAUUCAUGUCCAACAGCUGCUCCACCAACACUGGUGCCCCUCAGGGAUGUGUUCUCUCCCCCCUGCUCUUCUCGCUGUACACCAACGACUGCACCUCAAAAGACCCCUUUGUCAAGCUCCUGAAGUUUGCAGACGACACCACACUCAUCACUCAUCNNNNNNNNNNNNNNNNNNNNNNNN